CAUCCUACGGGGCGCAGCAGCCGCGGUAAUACGGAGGAUGCGAGCGUUAUCCGGAUUUAUUGGGUUUAAAGGGUGCGUAGGCGGACAGUCAAGUCAGCGGUAAAAAUGCGGUGCUCAACGCCGUACAGCCGUUGAAACUGGCAGUCUUGAGUGGGCGAGAAGUAUGCGGAAUGCGUGGUGUAGCGGUGAAAUGCAUAGAUAUCACGCAGAACUCCGAUUGCGAAGGCAGCAUACCGGCGCCCUACUGACGCUGAGGCACGAAAGCGUGGGUAUCGAACAGGAUUAGAAACCCCAGUAGUCCAGAG
rnacentral:rRNA from 1 species